rnacentral:rRNA from 1 species
GCGGACGGGUGAGUAACACGUGGGUAACCUGCCUGUAAGACUGGGAUAACUCCGGGAAACCGGGGCUAAUACCGGAUGCUUGUUUGAACCGCAUGGUUCAAACAUAAAAGGUGGCUUCGGCUACCACUUACAGAUGGACCCGCGGCGCAUUAGCUAGUUGGUGAGGUAACGGCUCACCAAGGCAACGAUGCGUAGCCGACCUGAGAGGGUGAUCGGCCACACUGGGACUGAGACACGGCCCAGACUCCUACGGGAGGCAGCAGUAGGGAAUCUUCCGCAAUGGACGAAAGUCUGACGGAGCAACGCCGCGUGAGUGAUGAAGGUUUUCGGAUCGUAAAGCUCUGUUGUUAGGGAAGAACAAGUACCGUUCGAAUAGGGCGGUACCUUGACGGUACCUAACCAGAAAGCCACGGCUAACUACGUGCCAGCAGCCGCGGUAAUACGUAGGUGGCAAGCGUUGUCCGGAAUUAUUGGGCGUAAAGGGCUCGCAGGCGGUUUCUUAAGUCUGAUGUGAAAGCCCCCGGCUCAACCGGGGAGGGUCAUUGGAAACUGGGGAACUUGAGUGCAGAAGAGGAGAGUGGAAUUCCACGUGUAGCGGUGAAAUGCGUAGAGAUGUGGAGGAACACCAGUGGCGAAGGCGACUCUCUGGUCUGUAACUGACGCUGAGGAGCGAAAGCGUGGGGAGCGAACAGGAUUAGAUACCCUGGUAGUCCACGCCGUAAACGAUGAGUGCUAAGUGUUAGGGGGUUUCCGCCCCUUAGUGCUGCAGCUAACGCAUUAAGCACUCCGCCUGGGGGAGUACGGUCGCAAGACUGAAACUCAAAGGAAUUGACGGGGGCCCGCACAGCGGUGGA